rnacentral:ribozyme from 11 species
ACGCCAGAUGGUAAGGAACAGCAAGGAGGCGGAGGCCGCGGAAAGGACCACAGAGAGGAGGUUUACCCUCCAGGCGGGGCUUCCGAUCGGGAGCAAAUCGUGAAAGAGAGCACCUAGCAUAGUGAAGAGAGGAUAGCCGGGCGGGUGUGCAAUCCCUUUGGUG